CAUAAAAGAACCAAUGCAAAAAUAUAAAAAUCAAAUUAAUAAAUUUGUAUUGGUUUAGAUAUUGGAAAGUAUACAAAAAAAUACAUAUUCACUCCGAAAAAUGUUUACGCAGUUAACUCCCCCUUUUUGAUGACGUAGAUUCUUCCUUUACCUAACACGGCAGCGAUUCUGCGAUACCAGUUGUACGGUGCUCCACUGUUCUACAUCGAAAACUCAAGCCAGAAAUUAUAAAAUUUCUCGCUUGAAUUUUCAAUAAGCUUCCAUAACACUAAGACUGCGUCAAAGGGUACACCAAAGUAACAAAUUCUAUGAUUUGAAAGGAUUUUCGUGAAUGUUCUGACUUGUCUUUCGUAAAAACUGAUUUACAUUUCACCGAAGUAUGGAAGCUUCUCAUACAAAAUCCGUGGAGGAAGUGUUGGAUUAUUUUAAUGUUGGGGAAGAAACUGGAUAUACAGAUGACCAAGUGAAAGCUGGAAUUGAAAAAUAUGGCCCAAACGAAUUACCAGCAGAGGAAGGUAAACCUCUAUGGGAAUUAAUUCUAGAACAGUUUGAUGAUUUAUUAGUCAAAAUUCUUUUAUUAGCAGCUGUAAUAUCUUUUGUAUUAGCUUGGUUUGAAGAAAGUGAGGAACAAGUAACAGCAUUCGUAGAACCAUUUGUGAUAUUGACAAUUUUAAUUUGUAAUGCUGUAGUAGGAGUUUGGCAGGAAAAAAAUGCAGAAAGUGCCAUUGAAGCAUUAAAAGAAUAUGAACCAGAAAUAGCUAAAGUAGUUAGAAAAAGUCAUAGAGGAAUCCAGAGAAUACGAGCUAGUAACUUAGUCCCUGGAGAUAUUGUAGAAGUCUCUGUGGGAGAUAAAGUACCUGCAGAUAUCAGAAUUAGCACAAUUCAUUCCACUACUCUUAGAAUAGAUCAGUCCAUUCUCACAGGAGAAAGUGUAAGUGUAAUCAAGCACACAGAUCCUAUACCAGAUCCAAGAGCCGUCAAUCAAGACAAGAAGAAUAUUCUGUUUUCUGGAACAAAUAUCGCAGCAGGAAAAUGCAGAGGAAUUGUAAUUGGUACCGGACUCAAUACGGAAAUCGGAAAAAUCAGAGACGAAAUGAUGGAUACAGAAACAGAGAAGACACCAUUGCAACAGAAAUUAGAUGAAUUUGGACAGCAAUUGUCUAAGGUGAUUACUAUUAUUUGUAUUGCUGUAUGGGCCAUCAACAUCGGACAUUUCAAUGAUCCAGCUCAUGGUGGAUCAUGGGUCAAGGGAGCUAUCUAUUAUUUCAAGAUUGCGGUUGCUUUGGCUGUGGCUGCUAUCCCAGAAGGUUUACCAGCUGUCAUUACAACUUGUCUUGCUUUAGGUACACGAAGAAUGGCCAAGAAAAAUGCUAUUGUGAGAAGUUUACCCUCAGUAGAAACUCUUGGUUGUACUUCAGUAAUCUGUUCUGAUAAAACUGGUACCCUGACAACCAAUCAGAUGUCUGUUUGUAGAAUGUUCACAUUUGCCAAAAUAGAAGGAAAUGAUGUUAAGACAGAUCAGUUUGAAAUCACAGGAUCUACAUAUGCCCCUGAAGGUGACAUUUACUUAGGUGGAAAGAAAGUAAAGACUGGUGAUUAUCCUGGGUUAGAAGAACUAGCUACAGUGUGUGUAAUGUGUAAUGAUUCUAGUGUUGAUUACAAUGAUACAAAGGAAGUGUAUGAAAAGGUUGGUGAAGCGACAGAAACUGCUUUGACUGUGUUAGUAGAGAAAAUGGACUAUUAUAAUACAGACAAAACAGGAUUGAACAAACGAGAAAAGGGUACAGCUUGCAAUCAUGUCAUUUCUCAAAUGUGGAAAAAGGAAUUUACAUUGGAGUUUUCCCGUGACAGGAAAUCUAUGAGUGUGUAUUGUUCACCUAACAAACCCACCAGGACUGCUCAAGGAUGUAAAAUGUUUGCAAAGGGAGCACCAGAAGGAAUAUUAGACAGAUGUACCCAUGUCCGAGUUGGUAGUACUAAAGUACCCAUGUCUCCAGCCAUUAAAAAUGAAAUCAUGAAACAUGUAGCAGCAUAUGGAACAGGACGUGACACCCUACGAUGCUUGGCAUUAGCCACCAUUGAUAACCCACCACGUAGAGAAGAUAUGGACUUGGAAGAUUCUAGGAAGUUUAUUGAGUAUGAGACAAAUAUGACCUUUGUUGGUGUUGUUGGAAUGUUGGACCCUCCACGUACAGAAGUAAUGGACUCCAUUAAAAGGUGCCGUGAUGCUGGAAUCAGAGUCAUUGUCAUCACUGGUGAUAACAAGGCUACUGCUGAGGCAAUCUGCAGAAGAAUUGGGGUAUUUGGUGAAAAUGAAUCAACAGAAGGCUUGUCAUUUACUGGACGAGAGUUUGAUGACCUGUCUAUGGAAGAGCAAAGAAGGGCUGUUAUGAAGGCUCGUCUAUUUGCACGUGUAGAACCAACUCACAAAAGUAAAAUUAUUGAAUAUCUACAGGGAGAAGGAGAAGUCUCAGCUAUGACAGGUGAUGGUGUAAAUGAUGCCCCUGCUCUGAAGAAAGCUGAGAUUGGAAUUGCUAUGGGUUCUGGUACUGCUGUGGCAAAGACCGCUUCUGAGAUGGUAUUGGCAGAUGACAACUUUGCUUCCAUUGUAGCUGCAGUAGAAGAAGGCAGAGCCAUCUACAAUAACAUGAAACAAUUUAUUCGCUACCUGAUCUCAUCAAACAUUGGAGAAGUUGUUUGUAUUUUCCUGACAGCUGCCCUUGGUAUCCCAGAAGCUUUAAUUCCAGUACAGUUGUUAUGGGUUAACUUGGUAACGGAUGGUUUACCAGCCACAGCUCUAGGAUUUAAUCCACCAGAUCUUGACAUAAUGAAGAAACAACCAAGAAGUGCCAAAGACAGUCUCAUCUCAGGAUGGUUGUUCUUCAGAUAUAUGGCUAUUGGAAUCUAUGUUGGUUGUGCCACAGUUGGAGCAGCAGCUUGGUGGUUUAUGGUCUAUGAUCAUGGACCCAAACUUAACUAUUACCAACUUACCCACCAUAUGCAAUGUCCAGCUGAGCCAGGAAUGUUCAAAGAUGUUAGUUGUCAUAUAUUUAAUGAUCCUCAUCCAAUGACAAUGGCCCUGUCUGUACUGGUCACUAUCGAAAUGCUCAAUGCAUUAAACAGUUUGAGUGAGAACCAGUCAUUGAUAGCUAUGCCUCCAUGGUCCAACCCUUGGUUGUUGGGUGCCAUUGCUCUCUCCAUGUCUCUUCAUUUCCUUAUUUUGUACACAGAAGUAAUGUCUACAAUUUUCCAGAUCACCCCAUUGAACUUGGCAGAAUGGUCAGCAGUGUUAAAGAUAUCAAUCCCAGUCAUCAUACUGGACGAAACAUUGAAGUUCGUCGCCAGAAAGUUUACUGAUGGUAAAAAAAAUAUUUUACUAGGUUCAGUAACAAUGUUCCUCGUCUGGGUUGUGUACAUUGGACUGGCAUAUUUAUCUCCUAUAUGAUGAUUGUUCCCAUUAGUUUUUAAACAUUUUCCUACCUUGUCAUGCAUCUCGUCAACAACCAUUGUUUUCCUGCCCCAGAAUAACCUGAUUACCACAGAAAUAGCAUUGACUUAAUCUCAUUAAUAUCAGGAAAUUAUGGUUUCCAUUUGUUAAUUGUUGUGAUAUUGUCUAGAAACAUUUUGAAAAAAGGGAAUUGUUUUAUUUAUAAAAGUUCUUAAUAUAGAAUAGUAUUGAUUUUUCAGUUGGUUUUAUUCUUUGAGUGAAACAUCAAUUUCAAUCUUAUUAAUAGAACUCUUCUGUUUUAAAUCAUCAAGUUUUAAUUUUGCAAUAUUAAUAAUGGAUGGAUGGCCUUUAAGUUAGAAAGUAACUUUCACCAAAUUACUGUGGUAUUAAUUCAAAUUGGUGAUAAUACUCUAACAAUAAUCCAAAAAUCUGAACUAUUUUAUUUAUUUUAAGUUGCCAUGCUAUGAUUUGUUUCCCCAUUUCUUACUUUAUGUGAUAAAGUAUUUCCAAGAAUUUCAUCAUAAUGUGUGAGUGUGUGUUGUUAUAUUUCAUUUUGUCAUAAACAUUGUAUCUGUAAACUCAUUGUCCGAAAUAAUAUAUUGUAUUUAUUUAGAGAGGGCAACUACUAAAACCAAGCAGAGUUCAAUUAAUUUAAAAUGUCUAUCAUAAGAAUCUAUUUAAAUUUCAUUCACAUUAAAUUUUAAUGAUUUUAUAAAAUGAAACUAACUAUCUAAGUUAUAUAUUCUGACUAAAAUGAAGUGCUUAUUUGAGCUCCAUUUCUAAAGUGAAUUUUAGUUAGAUUUUUUUUUGUGAAUGUUGUAAAAGUGACAGUAAGAUAUAAGGUGUUCAACAUAUAUAGUCCAUUCUUUGAAUGCCAUCUUUGUUUUUGUUUUUGUUUUCAUGCAUGUCUUUGUCAUCUUUUUUUUUCUUGGUGAUGUGUGAUUGUAUGGUGAGGUUUUGCUUUUAAACUAGUUCAUAUGAGCAUAUGCUGUAAUCACUCGUCGUUUGCACUUUGAUGCAGGUCAAAUUACAUUGAAAACUUACAUAAUUAGAUAGCAAAAUGGUGUUAGAGAAAUAAUACCUUUUGGACAUAUAGCAUUUGCAAUGCAUAUAAGAUUACAUGCAAAAUUUUAAUUCAAUAUUUGGAAAGAAAAAAAUUGGGGAGGGGGUUAAAAUUGAAGAAAUUAUAGUAUAUGUUCAUAAGCAAACUCCUGAAACUAUACCUUAGAAUCCUGCUUGGUAUUAGUAGUGACAACAGUUAUUUCUAUCAACAGUUAAGACAGAAGUUUUUAUUAGUGUUUUUAUUUAUUUAAACAUAGAUUGUCUAUUGCAGAUUUUAACUUGUGACUACAUUAACAUUGAAUACUGAAUCUUUUCACUGUCCAUUCUAACUACACUACACAUGUGUCUUGUAACAUGACACCUUAUUUCGUCACCAAAUACUAACAGAAAACCAAAACUUAGACAUCAAAUUCACACAAAUUCCUCAAGCAUAAUAUUAAUAGAUGUAAAAAGGGCUUUAUUUGGAAUACAUUAUUGUUCCAAGACCAUUUAAAUAAAUAACACAAAAUCAAGGACGUGUUAAUGUGCAAUACAAUAUUUAAAUCUACAAACAUGAGUAAUGAACGUUUUUAGAUGGACAGUGAAAAUAAGUCAUGAACCAUUCAUGUGAUUUUGUGUAAACAUUUAAGGUUGCUUAUUUCACAUUCAAUCUUGUGCAGCAGUAAUGCUUAUCAAAGACAAGGUAAAGGUGAUUGUAGCCACAUGCUUACAACUUGUACAUGUAACUUGAAUAAAGUUAACAUUAUUUUUAUGAUACCUCUAUGAUAAGUGCUUAAUGCAUUGCUGAGUCAAGUUCAUAAUGUCAUUUUAUAAUAUCCAGAUUGUUUAUAUAGUUUAAGACAAAUUUUUCAGUGGACUAAAACUUAACUGGUUUACACAGCAAAUUGACAACAAAAUGACUACCCAAACUUCUUCUGAAAAGAUUGGACGAAAAAGAUGAAUCCAAGAUGUUACCUGCGAAGGACAUGUAUAAAAGCUCCGUCCAAUUUUGUCAUCCCUAAAUAUGAGUCCUUUGGAAUGGAUUAAAAUGGCGAUUACCUAUAUUUCUUGGAAUUUGGAAUUUAAAUGCUCUUUAUUUAUGCAAAGCUCAUGUUGCUGUAUCUACUUGGAAGAGCUCAUGUUUUUUUUAACAUUUUUUUUGUUUAAUUUAUUUUCGUAUAAUAUAUAUGUAUUUGUGUGUGCUUGCUAUAGUUCAGAUUGUGGUUAUUGUAGAACAUAGAAUAUUGCAUAAAUUAUAUAUUAUACGUUGAUGAUUAGCUGCUAAAAAGUUGAUGAAUGCUUCUUUUCAUGCGGAGUUGACUUAUUUGCAUGUGAUGUACAAAACAUGCAGAACGUUGAUCGCUUCCUUCAACGUCUAGCUGAUCUACUGUUAAAUAACUCGUCAUAUUAUUUACAGUUCCGCCAAACUCAGGAUACGACCCAUAUAGAUAAGGAAUAUAGGUAAACAGUUCCAUCGCCAUUUUAGUAGCUAUAUAAUUGACUGUUGUAUAAUACAAGGACUACCGGAAGUGUGCAACUACCCAUUACCGUUCCGGCAGAAUAUUUCGCAUUAUCCAAUUGUUUUCGAAAAAAGUGCGGACUAUCUGUUCCUGUUGUCGAGUUGAAUCACUGUGUAGUUGUCCGAUAGAAAUUGUGUGUCAAUCUUCAAGAAAUCCUGUUUGUUACGCGCUAUGUGCUAUCUAUUUUAUGUGUGAAUUUUUAGAAUAGUCUUCGGAUGUCGAUUAUGCAAAUUACAUGCAUCACGAGAAAUUAAUGUCAGGUCAUUUUGUACUUUGUUCAUUCAUUCGAGUGUGAGAUGUAUAUAGAUGAAAUGAUUGUAUGUUUUUUGUGAGUCCUACCUUUUGAAACGGUCAUUUGAUCUAAUGAGGCCCAGGUCAUUUGACCGUUUCAUCCAUUAUACUGUGGCAUUGAGACAUUGCUCCAUUGACCCCUAGGGGAGUUAUUUUGUAUAUAAAUCGUCAAUUACGUAGGAAUUGUAGAUAUUUAUUGAGGUGUUAGCAUUCAUUAUUACUAUUUAAGAGUUUAUUUAGUAUAUUUAUAAAUAUUGGUAAACAAAGAAAUCAUUGGUGAAUCUUCCGAUACUUUAAUUCAAUUAAAAAAUAAGUUUUAAAGACAAAACGUUUAACAUUAAAAUUCUAGUUUAAAAAAAAAUAUCUGCACUGAAAGUUACUUCAAAAAGCAUUUCACUAGCAUGCCACAGUAUUUUAAGCCAUUUCAUUAUGGUCAGUUGACUUUGCCAAAAUUAAAGUUCCUAGUGUCCAAAAUAAACAUAUCAAAUUCGGCAUUCAUGACAUUACAUUCAUAAAAGUUUGUUAUUGAACCUUUUUGUUUUACGAUUUGAAGAACCCACCCUAUUGUACCUCAAUUUUUGCCAUUUCAUCGGGCAGAUUAAACUGUUUUAAUGUGAAAUAUUGUUGGUGUAUUGAGAAAUAUUUAUUUUUCCAAAAUAUCUAUUUAUACAAUUGUUUCUAUGACAAACUUGGCAGUUCAUAUGAUAUCAAACAGCAUUUGAUAAUUGUCGGUCUAAACACAAGAUUAUUUAAAAUUUCCAUAUCAUAUGGUAGAUUAUGCAAGCUGCUUAACAGAGAUUCAUAACAGCCUUUGUUGCAAAGGAGAUAAAGACCAAAGUCAAUUAUAAUAUGUUGUUGAUGAAUUUUUAGUAUUGUUUAGUCAGCAAGCUGUAUAGUUGUGUCAAUGAUUUUAUCAGAUAGGUGUUGUGAAAAAGCGAUUUGUUAGGUAGCAAAGUUUUCUGCUCGAUGAUUAGGCACAACAUUAACUGUUAUUGUGUUUGAGCAAAUUAUUUGUGUUAACAACAAUUUUUGCUCGAUGAUAAGGCACAACGACGAUUAACUGCCAGGUUUUUAUACAUUUCCUAUAGAAAUAAAAUAUUUUGUUUGUAA